rnacentral:rRNA from 1 species
UACGUAGGGGGCAAGCGUUGUCCGGAAUCAUUGGGCGUAAAGAGCGCGUAGGCGGUCCGGUAAGUCCGCUCUGAAAGUCCGGGGCUCAACCCCGGGAGGCGGGCGGAUACUGUCGGGCUAGAGUCCGGGAGAGGCGAGUGGAAUUCCUGGUGUAGCGGUGAAAUGCGCAGAUAUCAGGAGGAACACCAAUGGCGAAGGCAGCUCGCUGGGACGGUACUGACGCUGAGGCGCGAAAGCGUGGGAGCAAACAGG